rnacentral:rRNA from 1 species
UGUCCCCAGGAUGGGUGGGAGGACCUGCUGAGUUUGAACAUAUCAAUAAGCAGAGGAGAAGAUACUUAUUAGGAUUCCCUUAGUAAUGACAAGUGAAUCGGGAUCUCCCCAGCAUGGGAAUCGAGCUGCAAUACAGGCCGAAUUGUUGUAUGGAGAAGCGACCCCAGUGACAGAUCAAGCCCAAGUCUCCUGAAAAGGGGCACCAGCACAGGUUAGAGCCUCAUUCCUCCUGAACCCUAUCAUAACAUGAGAUGCUAUCACCGAGUCGGUUUGUUUGGGAAUGCAAUCCCAAUUGGGCGUUAAAUUCUGUCCAAGGAUAAAUAUGUGCGAGAGACUGACGACGAACAAGUACCGUGAGGGAAAGAUGUAAAGAACUUCAAAAAGAGAGUCAAAGAGUGCUUGAAAUUAUCGGGAGGGAAGCGGAUGAGGGCUGGCAUUGCAUCUCGGCCUGAAGUGGGAGGCUUAAUGCUUUUCCAUUGCAUGGCUCUAGGCAUAGAUCAUUACAGGCCUUACUGGUGGCUAGACCCCGGGCGAAAGAUGCUCGAGGAGGCACAGUCAGUACUACCAAUGAAGCAU